AUUUAGCAGGAUUUCAAUAGUACGAAAUACCUUUUCUUGCAUUUUAUUGUUUUUGUGUGCUUGUUUACAGUUUGGACCGUGCUUGCUACCCGGAAGCCCUUUUGAAAUUUGUUGAGGACACAAAAUCUACUAGUACAUCAGGGAAUAAAAGUAAAGGGGAAGACAUAGAUGCUUGCUUGGAUGAAGUGAAUAAGGACUCCAAGGUGUGGCAGCAUGGCAGUAUAGUUGCAUUAGAUUGGCUACGAAUUUUCAGGAAUUUGGCCAAGGUAUGUUAGCACAGGUGAGAAACUGGUUUUUGUCUAUGAUUGGUGUGAAAAAUCCGAAAGAAGAGGUGGUGGAGUCAAGAAUGAAGUAUGACUUUGGUGAUGAGGUGUAAGCUUGGAGGAUAAAGCUGCGAAAAGAGCGAUAUCUAAAAGCAGAAGGCUCCAACGUACUUGAAUCCUUAGAUGGCUCAAUUUUGGAUACAGAAUUGAUAAACGUUUUUGCAGAGAAAUCGAAAGAAAUUGUUUGAUGAGCAUUUCAUUGAUGGAA